CCGCUCGGGGCGGCUCGGGGGCGGUUGCGGCUCUGCUUUCUCCGCAGCCUGUCGGCCUUGGUGGCCGGCCCCUAUGGUUCCGUAGCGUCGCGCUCGGCUGGGCAGGGCGGCCUGGCCACGCCCUUCGGUCCUGCUGUUUGCUGUCCUCGGCCCGGGGUACGAGACUUUUCCUUGACUCCAGAGUUCGUGGGCUGCGCUGCUGCCUCGCUGCCCCAGAGCCUGAGAGCCGUGGAGCGAGGGCUGAGCCCAGGGACAUGACCGGCCCUCCAGAGCCGGUUCCUUCAGAGCCUCCCCAACGCCCGGGGUGCACCUAUAUACCUUGUGCAUUGCUGUCGGCACACACAACAGUGCUUGUUGAGCGUCUGCUAUGUAUCACUGUACAUGAUUAACCCUAAUGUGUAUUUUUAAACGCCGCCCUGCUGGUCUGGUGGUUAAGAUUGGGCGUUCUCACUGGGUUCCUAUCCCGGUCAGGGAACCACACCACCCGCUGCGUUGUCAUACUGUGGCGGCUGUGUGUAGCUGUGAUGCUGAAAGCUGUACCACCGGUAUUUCAAACGCCAGCAGAGUCACCCAUGGUGGACAGGUUUCAGCGGAGCUUCCAGACUGAGACAGACUAGGAAGAACGACCUGGCCACCAAUUUCUUUAAAAGUUCACCAAGAAAACCCUACGAAUAGCAGCGGAGCAUUGUCUGAUAAAGCACUGGUCUGAUACAGCACGAGAAGGUAGGGCCUAUCAUCCCUAUGUUGCUGCUGAAGAAGGAAUUAACUGCUAGGAAAUAGAAGCAAGAUUGGCACUCAAACUGUCUUGCUUCAGAUGGAACUUCCUCCAACUCUCAGAGGCUCCAGAGGCGGUACCAGGACAUACAGAAGCCCUGGUUAUUUAUUUAUUGGGAUAGACUUCAUAUAUCAUAUACUUCACCCAUUUAAAGCAUUCAUUCAAUGGUGUUGGUAUAUUUACAUAGUAGUGCAACCAUUACCACAAUCAAUUUGAGAACAUUUUCACCACUCCAAAAGAAACCCUGUAUCUUUUAGCUAUUACCCGAGUCUUCCCAACUCCUCCAGUCCUAGCCAACCACUGAUCUUUCCGUCUCUUAGAUUUAUGUAUUCUGAGCUUUUAAUAUAAAUGGAAUCGUAUAUAUGGUCUUUUUGUGACUAGCUUUUUUCCCUUAGCAUAUUUUCAGGGUUUAUCCAUAUUGUAGCAUGUAUGAGUAUUUCUUUCCUUUCCGGGGCUGAAUAAUACUGCAUUGUAUGGACAUAGCACAUUUUAUUUAUCCGUUCAUCAAAAGGUUGUUUCUACAAUUAUGAAUCCUUAUUCACUGCUACGAACAUUCAUGUACAAGUUUUUGUGCAGACAUAUUUUCAUUUCUCUUGGAGAUUGAUCUAUCUAGGAGUGAAUUCCUGGGUCGUAUGAUAAUGAUAUUAAACCAUUUGAAGAACUGCCAGACUGUUUUCCAUCAGCAUUGUAUGAGGAUUCCGAUUUCUCCAUGUCCUUGCCAAUGCUUGUUAUUAUCUGACGUUUUUGUGUGUGUGAGGAAAAUUGGCCCUGAGCUAACAUCUGUGCCAAUCUUUCUCUAUUUUGUAUGUGGGAUGCUGCCACAGCAUGUCUUGAUGAGCAGUGUGUAGGUCCAUGCCUAGGAUCUGGACCGAUAAACCCUAGGCCACUGAAGCAGAGCAUGAGAACUUAACCACUACACCACCGGCACAGCCCCUGUCUGACUUUUUGAUUAUAGCCAUCCUAGUGAGUGUGAAGUGAUAUCUUGUGGUUUUGCUUUGUAUUUUCCUG
rnacentral:lncRNA from 1 species